rnacentral:rRNA from 1 species
CCUACGUGCGGCAGCAGUGGGGAAUAUUGGACAAUGGGCGAAAGCCUGAACCAGCCAUGCCGCGUGUGUGAAGAAGGCCUUCGGGUUGUAAAGCACUUUCAGUGGGGAAGAAAGCCUUGGGGCUAAUACCCUCGAGGAAGGACAUCACCCACAGAAGAAGCACCGGCUAACUCCGUGCCAGCAGCCGCGGUAAUACGGAGGGUGCGAGCGUUAAUCGGAAUUACUGGGCGUAAAGCGCGCGUAGGCGGUCUGAUAAGCCGGUUGUGAAAGCCCCGGGCUCAACCUGGGAACGGCAUCCGGAACUGUCAGGCUAGAGUGCAGGAGAGGAAGGUAGAAUUCCCGGUGUAGCGGUGAAAUGCGUAGAGAUCGGGAGGAAUACCAGUGGCGAAGGCGGCCUUCUGGACUGACACUGACGCUGAGGUGCGAAAGCGUGGGUAGCAAACAGGAUUAGAUACCCGGUAGUC